rnacentral:rRNA from 1 species
CUAUUAUUUCAAUAUAGUAAAAUUUGAAUUAUUAUUCUACUAAAGGAAUAAGAAUAUAUGAGAAUCGUAAUUAUGUUUAAAACUUAAAAAAUUUGGCGGUUUCACAUAUCCAUUUAGGGGAGCUUGUUAGUAUAAAAUGAUAUUCCCCGAUUUAGACUUACUUUCUUUUGAAAAAUACAGUUUGUGUAUUGCUGUCAAUUAGUUUAUGUUUUAAGAAUAAUUGAAAAGACUUUAAAAUUAGUAGAUUUUUAUGUCAAGUCAAAAUACAGUUAAUAGGAAAGAAUUAAUGAGCUACUUUUUAUAAUUUUAAUAUUCGAAUUUAAAAAUUUAAUAAUUAAAUGAGGGGGACUUAAUAGUAAUUUAAAAUUAGUUUGUUUUUGUGAAUAAGUGGUUUUGUGAAGUGU